CGAAGGGCUCGAGUAUAUAAUUAAUAAAACCAGAUAGUCAGUCUGUUCUGAAACCUCAACUGAAACAGUUUAUUUUAUUUCACCGCUCUUGAUCGAGGAACCCCUUUAGUGAAGUACCCUUAUUCAUUUUAAGUAUCCUCUUUAAAAGUGGCGACGAGCAGAAGAACAUAACGCGUGUGCAAAAAGUGACUAAAAACCCACUAGUUUAUUGAUUGCGACGGUGCAAAUUGGAAGCGAAUAAUCAUCGGAAACUACCAACCGCGCACAUCGUUGGUGUAGCCAUUGUGUGCUGAACUAUCUCCUAACGCCGGCGAGAAUUAAGAUAUUGAGUUUAUUCUACAACCAAUCAUCCGAAACCCGCAGACGUCGCUGAAUCCGAAUAGCUAAAAGCGUGGAAAGAUAGCGUCAUUUUGGUAAUCGCGGUGGUUUUUUUAAGCAGCGUGCUAAGCAUCGAGCCUCGUUCCGGUAUUUCAGGCAAAAGGGCUCAACGGAGUCGGAUAGCUGGAUUCGAGAUAAUUCUCUCCAUCCGCUGAGGAAUUCAGUCCCUUUGGUUUUCA